rnacentral:rRNA from 1 species
GACGAACGCUGGCGGCGUGCCUAAUACAUGCAAGUCGAACGCACAGUUUAUACCGUAGCUUGCUACACCAUAGACUGUGAGUUGCGAGCGGGUGAGUAACGAGUAGGUAACCUGCCUGGUAGCGGGGGAUGACUAUUGGAAACGAUCGCUAAUAUCGCAUAAUCUUCAUUAUUGCAUGAUAAUUAAUUGAAAGGUGCAAUUGCACCAAUACCAGCUGGCCCUGCGUUGUAUUAGCUAGUAGGUGAGGUAACGGAUUACCUAGGCGACGAUACAUAUCCGACCCGGGAGGGGUAUCGGCCACACCUGGACUUGGACACCGCCCAGACCUCUACGGGAGGCAGCAGUAGGGAAUCUUCGGCAAUGGACGGAAGGCUGACCGGGCAACGCCGCGUGAGGGAAGAAGGUUUUCGGAUCGUAAAGCCCCUUUUUAAGAGAAGAACGGGUGUGAGAGUUGAAAGUGCACACUGUGACGGUAGCUUACCAGAAAGCGACGGCUAACUACGUG